GAUGAACGCUGGCGGCGUGCAUAACACAUUCAAGUCGAACGGGAAUCAAGCCUUAGCUUGCUAAGGGUUGAGGAUAGUGGCGGACGGGUGAGUAACGCGUGAGCAAUCUGCCUUGGUUUGGGGGAUAACGUCUGGAAACGGACGCUAAUACCGCAUAACGUAUCGAGAUCGCAUGUCCUUGAUACCAAAGCUCCGGCGAACCAAGAUGAGCUCGCGUCCGAUUAGAUAGUUGGUGGGGUAACGGCCUACCAAGUCUGCGAUCGGUAGCCGGACUGAGAGGUUGAACGGCCACAUUGGAACUGAGAUACGGUCCAGACUCCUACGGGAGGCAGCAGUGGGGAAUCUUGCGCAAUGGGGGAAACCCUGACGCAGCAACGCCGCGUGAAGGAAGAAGGCCUUCGGGUUGUAAAGUUCUUUUAGUAGUGAAGAUGAUGACAGUAACUACAGAAAAGCACCGGCUAACUUCGUG
rnacentral:rRNA from 1 species